rnacentral:rRNA from 1 species
UACGUAGGGAGCAAGCGUUGUUCGGAUUUACUGGGCGUAAAGGGCGCGUAGGCGGCGCAACAAGUCACUUGUGAAAUCUCCGGGCUUAACCCGGAGCGGCCAAGUGAUACUGUCGUGCUAGAGUGCGGAAGGGGCUACUGGAAUUCUCGGUGUAGCGGUGAAAUGCGUAGAUAUCGAGAGGAACACCUGCGGCGAAGGCGGGUAGCUGGGCCGACACUGACGCUGAUGCGCGAAAGCCAGGGGAGCGAACGGG